rnacentral:rRNA from 1 species
UACGUAGGGUGCGAGCGUUAAUCGGAAUUACUGGGCGUAAAGGGCGCGUAGGCGGUGUGUCAAGUCAGGCGUGAAAGCCCCGGGCUCAACCUGGGAACAGCGCUUGAUACUGGUCGUCUAGAGAUCGGAAGAGGUGAGUGGAAUUCCCAGUGUAGAGGUGAAAUUCGUAGAUAUUGGGAAGAACACCAGUGGCGAAGGCGGCUCACUGGUCCGAUACUGACGCUGAGGUGCGAAAGCGUGGGGAGCAAACAGG